GGGGCUAUAGCUCAGAUGGUAGAGCAUCUGCUUUGCACGCAGAGGGUCAGCGGUUCGAACCCGCUUAGCUCCA
rnacentral:tRNA from 1 species